GAGAAACUCUCACUCUCUUUCGUUGUCUUGCAAAUAAUUGGUUAGAGCUAGUCGGAACAUUGUUGGUGAAAACUCCAUGGUUGUGAAGAAGAAGGAAGAAAUGGGGGCAGAGCUUUUUGAACAACUGAGUAUGUGAAGGAGGAAGAGAAGAGAAGAGAAGAGAAAAGAAAAGAAAGGGCAAAUGUGUAAAUUCACGUGCUUGUGCACAUUAGCAAAAACUUAUUAGAGAUUUUAGUUUGAAAAGCGGAGUCAUUUGGCAUAUGGAGCCUUAAAAAUAGGUUGUUUUGUUGCAAGUAAUUCCAGCCCCAGGGGGAAUAUGAAUAUCAAUUGGAAAACAAAAAUUAGGUCAAUCUUUACAAAAUUCCCUCGAGAUAUCAAUAUCUUUGGGAAAGUGGAAAGUCUAUUUUGCAGAUUUUGCCCAAUGAUUUUACCGAAAACGCCAUUUCGGACAGUAACCCACCAAAUGAAAGGGAAGAAAACGGCGCAAAGUUCUUGGUCAAUUUGACUCUCUCAACUCCCAAUUCUCCUCCAACUCCUUUUCUCAUCCUCUCCCUUCAUUUUCUUUUUCUUUUUCUUUUUCUUUUUUUGGCGCUAAUCUUCCUCUAAACCCUCUUAAAUUUCCCAUCAGCUCGAUUUCCGUUCUUCCGCUCAGUUGCUGUCAAGAACGUCAGGCAAACACCUCGCUCCAGCGAUUUAGGACGGAAAUUUCGUUGUUUUCAGAUUGAGCUAAGUUGCUUGAAUUUGAGGUAUUUGGCCGUUGAAAGCAUUUCAUUUCAUGGCAGGCAAUGGCCUGCCAUCAUUGGGUCGUGUGAAACUUACUGAUAUAGCACCAUCUGAAGGAGUUCCAUCUGAGUCUUUCAAAUUGUCAGUCUCAACUCUGUCACAUUCACUAGCUCAAUACUCUGCUGCCAUCAUUCAAUUCCCUGCUUGUGAUGGGGCUCUUUUAAGGUCUGGUUUAGAUUCUGCGCGUCUCUACUUCCACCAGAGAGCUGCAUGUUCAUCUGCUGAGUUGAUGCAAAGCAAUGAUUCACGAGAGUGGUGCAGAACUUCUGGUUACUAUGUGGAUGCUCAGAUGUGGCAAGAAACAUAUGACUAUAGGCCUGGAUUGACUCCAGUUGAGCCCAGCAAUGGAAUGGAGUUACCACCUGCAGGUUUGCCAGACAUAUUUGCCCUCUAUGGAAAGGCAUCUCGAAUUAUUUUGGAUGCCAUCAGCUUCUAUCUAAACUUGCGGAGCUCUCCUUUCACGGAAAUACUUGAUAAUGUUCCUCUAAGAAGUAGGGAGAUAUCAUCUUCUGUGUUGUCUGUGUGCUGUUAUGGGAGACCCUCAUUUCACGGAGAGCAUCACCAUAAGUUAACUGCUCAAGAGGAUAGCCAGUUGGCCAUGUAUACGUCAGACCAUGACAAUCAAAUUGAUAAAAGUCUUAUUACUCUGUUCAAGGCGGAUAAGGCAGGUUUACUAAUAAAGGAUUUCAAUGGUAGAUGGAUUCUUGUGGAUGGGGAUCUUGGCCCUCAAGAUGCUAUAGUUUAUCCUGGACUUGCACUCUAUCAAGCAACCGCAGGAUAUGUGAAUCCUGCUUUGCUCAGAACAGAUGUGAAUAAUAUUCAAGGUAGUAUGUAUGGACGGUGUUCCUUGUCAUUCAAACUCAUGCCUAAAUCUAUGACUAGCCUCAGUUGUUCAGAAAUGAGAGCUGCUGGCCAUGGGGUAGAUGUUCAGUUCCAGCUUCCAGUACCAGUGGAUGACUUUAUGCAGAGAUCACACUCAACUGACCAACUCUUUAAUCGCCCAAAUUUUCAGAAUUUCAGUUUCUCUACAUCCCAAGAUGGAUCCAUAAAAAUGAGGAGGAGAAAGAAUAAUUCAAGUACCAAACCUCUACCCCCUUCUAAGAGAUUACGGCUUGAGGCACAGAGAGUUCUGAAGGAGAAAGUACAAGAUAUUGCAGAUAAGAAGGGUAUCAAAUUGAGGUUCUGUAAUCUGAAGGAUUGUGAGAGUCACAUUCACACAUUAGAUAGCCCUUGUGCCAGCACAAGAAUGGAGAUUGGGUGGCCUCCUGGAGUGCCAUUUGUUCAUCCUCACGACCUACCUAAUAAGGCAAAAAUUGGUUUUCUCGAAGCUUACGAGCCUGGUUGGACAGAUAGUCAUGACGUUGAAUUGAGUCUUACUGAACCUGGACAAGUGGGUCAACAGUCAACCAACUGACUUGAGCUCGGGGAGGAUGAUUGAUACUGCAUGGUAUAGUAGGGGACCUAUCUCCUUAAUGAUGAUACCUCCGGUAGAAUCAGUUCAUGUUCUGUACAUUGAUGGAUUCUCAACGCCUCGUAGCUUGCAACUUAAAAACCAGUUCCAUUCAUUCAUGGCGUUCAUCGGCUCAUCAUACCUGCACUCAGAUUGUUGUUUCAAUACCCAAUGCUGACAAAUCGUGCCUGUUCACGUCUCGAGCAAAGACUGUACAUAUGUAUUACUUUCUGGGUAAGCUAGUUUCAUCUUCAUCUCCUUUAACUAUUGGACACUUUCAUAUUAUUUGUUGGAGGACAACUCUUGAAGAAAGGGGUUUGUUAAGUUAGCUAACCAGUGAUGGCAAUGUAGUGGGAAGAACUAUUUCCUUUGAAUUCUAGUAGAGAUUUUUCUCAUGUUAGUCAUACCUUCAUGUUCCUAGACUAGUCCGUAUGAUGUGUAAAAUUUGGGAAAUACCAUAGAGAGCAGAAAUAUACAAACUUAAGAUUCCUGAAGAAGUAUUCCCUGUUUUCUUUCUGUUCCAUUCUUGAUGUUGUUUUACUUAUAUCGCGGAUCAUGACUUGAGCUCUUCACAUUACAUUAAACUAAUUUUUUUCCCAUUUGAAGCUUGA